CGGGGCGUAGCGUAGCCUGGUAUCGCGCCUGCUUUGGGAGCAGGAGGUCACCGGUUCAAAUCCGGUCGCCCCGA
rnacentral:tRNA from 2 species